GGACCCGCACAAGCGGUGGAUGAUGUGGAUUAAUUCGAUGCAACGCGAAGAACCUUACCCGGUCUUGACAUGCCGAGAAGCCCGAAGAGAUUUGGGCGUGCCGCAAGGAGCUCGGACACAGGUGCUGCAUGGCUGUCGUCAGCUCGUGUCGUGAGAUGUUGGGUUAAGUCCCGCAACGAGCGCAACCCUUGUCAUUAGUUGCCAUCAUUUGGUUGGGCACUCUAAUGAGACUGCCGGUGACAAACCGGAGGAAGGUGGGGAUGACGUCAAGUCCUCAUGGCCCUUAUGACCGGGGCUUCACACGUCAUACAAUGGUCAGUACAGAGGGUAGCCAAGCCGCGAGGCGGAGCCAAUCUCAGAAAAGCUGAUCGUAGUCCGGAUCGUACUCUGCAAACUCGAGUACGUGAAGUCGGAAUCGCUAGUAAUCGCAGGUCAGCAUACUG
rnacentral:rRNA from 1 species